AGACCUUCUGCUUCAGGAGACCCUAUUAACCAUUUUUUAGCUUUCUUUUUAUGUCGAAGGCUUUCAACUUCAGUUGUGAACUACCACAGCUACUAACGCACUAGAGGAAGCACUACCUAGCAACUCUAUUACGAGCUUAACCCCGCUAAUUCAAUCCUCGUUAAGGACGCUAUGAUAAUGGAAGGAUUGAUUGAGAAGAAAAAAAAUGACAUCUGCGAGAGAGAAAAUAAAAUUAACCUGUAAUAUUAUUUGGAUAAAUA